ACCCUUUUAGUACAACUAAUACAAGUGACUUCCACUCACUAAAUCUUAACAAAAACUAAGAAAGGGUA
rnacentral:tRNA from 1 species